rnacentral:tRNA from 1 species
GCCGAUGUAGCUCAGCUGGUAGAGCACUUCCAUGGUAAGGAAGGGGUCAGCGGUUCGAGCCCGCUCAUCGGCU